rnacentral:rRNA from 1 species
GUGCCGCCGCCGCGGUAAUACCGGCAGCCCAAGUGAUGGCCGCUGUUAUUGGGCCUAAAGCGUCCGUAGCUGGCCGCACAAGUCCGUUGGGAAAUCCACGCGCUCAACGCGUGGGCGUCCAGCGGAAACUGCCUGGCUUGGGGCCGGAGGACUCGAGGGGUACGUCCGGGGUAGGAGUGAAAUCCCGUAAUCCUGGACGGACCACCGGUGGCGAAAGCGCCUCGAGAGGACGGACCCGACAGUGAGGGACGAAAGCCAGGGUCUCGAACCGGAUUAGAUACCCGAGUAGUCC